GGCUGAGUGGAACUGUGAGAGGAGGAGAAGAGAAGAAAGGAUCAGAUUUGACACAUCAAAGAGGAAAACCAAACUUGGAGAAACCAGAAACGUCCAAACCAGCAAGACAACACCUCUGCUCCCACUGUGGAAAGAGUUUUAACCAGUUCGUUAGCAUGAGAAGACAUGAGAGAAUACACACAGGGGAGAAGCCACACCAUUGCACACAGUGUGGAAAGAGUUUUAACCAGUUAGGAAACAUGAAAUCUCACGAACGAAUACACACAGGGGAGAAGCCUUUCCAUUGCUCCCAGUGUGGAAAGAGUUUUGGAGAGUCAGGAAACCUGAAUGCUCACGAGCGAAUGCACACAGGGGAGAAGCCUUACCACUGCUCCCACUGCGGAAAGCGUUUUAACCAUUCAGGAAAGCUGAAAGAACACAUGAGACUGCACAAAGAGGAGAACCCUUACAAAUGCUCAGACUGUGGGAAGACAUAUUACUCAUCAUGGUCACUUAAACGUCAUGUGAGAAUCCACACGGGAGAAUAAUUACUUCUCUUAGUGUGUAGGUUUUUCACAUCACGUUGACUUAAAAUUCAUCAGAGAACAUACACAGUGGUCCCGUUGUCUUAUAUUGUUGACUGAGAAUGUGUUUACUUGUUUAUACCAGAUGAAAUUGAAUUGUACAAAGUAUACUUAAACAUAUUUGUGUGUUUUUAUUAGAAAACAUGAAUUGAGUAUGUAAGUUUGAAUAGAGAGUUGUAUAUUAUUUUUUAAACUCUUUGUGUUUAUCUGGGUGUGUCAUUCCUCCAGCACUACAGAUAAUCAAGUGAUAUCUGGAUGUGAUGCAUUAGUUCCAUUGUUGACAUUUGCAUUGUUGGCCCACUGAUGAUUUAAUGAAAUGAAAAUGUUCAGACUCUGUAAUGGAAAAUGUUAAUUGUUUGUGUGUCCACAUAACUGAGUAUGUGACUAACCUUGUGAAACUGUCCUAUUAUAAUCUCCUGUUCUUGGGAGUAUCAUCCUGUGUUGCAAACCAAUUUGCACCUGUGUCCUUGUAUGAAUAAAGUCCCGCCCAGGAAUAGGAAACUAUAAAGAUAUGUGCUCAUCACCCAACGCUUCAGGAAUUCAGACUGUCUACACUGCGCUGUGUAACUCUGUUAUUCUCUCUGAGCUCAGAAAUAAAGAAUCUUGGUUUGA